AGUGAACGCUGGCGGUAGGCCUAACACAUGCAAGUCGAACGGCAGCACAGUAAGAGCUUGCUCUUACGGGUGGCGAGUGGCGGACGGGUGAGGAAUACAUCGGAAUCUACUUUUUCGUGGGUGAUAACGUAGGGAAACUUACGCUAAUACCUCAUACGACCUACGGGUGAAAGCAGGGGAUCUUCGGACCUUGCGCGAUUGAAUGAGCCGAUGUCGGAUUAGCUAGUUGGCGGGGUAAAGGCCCACCAAGGCGACGAUCCGUAGCUGGUCUGACAGGAUGAUCAGCCACACUGGAACUGAGACACGGUCCAGACUCCUACGGGAGGCAGCAGUGGGGAAUAUUGGACAAUGGGCGCAAGCCUGAUCCAGCCAUACCGCGUGGGUGAAGAAGGCCUUCGGGUUGUAAAGCCCUUUUGUUGGGAAAGAAAAGCAGCAGGUUAAUACCCCGCUGUUCUGACGGUACCCAAAGAAUAAGCACCGGCUAACUUCGUG
rnacentral:rRNA from 1 species